CAGAUUGAACGCUGGCGGCAGGCCUAACACAUGCAAGUCGAGCGGUAGCACAGAGAGCUUGCUCUCGGGUGACGAGCGGCGGACGGGUGAGUAAUGUCUGGGAAACUGCCUGAUGGAGGGGGAUAACUACUGGAAACGGUAGCUAAUACCGCAUGAUGUCGCAAGACCAAAGUGGGGGACCUUCGGGCCUCAUGCCAUCAGAUGUGCCCAGAUGGGAUUAGCUAGUAGGUGGGGUAACGGCUCACCUAGGCGACGAUCCCUAGCUGGUCUGAGAGGAUGACCAGCCACACUGGAACUGAGACACGGUCCAGACUCCUACGGGAGGCAGCAGUGGGGAAUAUUGCACAAUGGGCGCAAGCCUGAUGCAGCCAUGCCGCGUGUGUGAAGAAGGCCUUCGGGUUGUAAAGCACUUUCAGCGGGGAGGAAGGCGA
rnacentral:rRNA from 1 species